CCCGAAGGAGGGCAUGCUGGCCGUCACGUGAGAGUGACGUAACCAUUUACACAGUUCGGAAGCUUUUAAAAUACAAUUACUAAAAUGGAAACCCCCGAGGGUGAGUCCUACUUUUGUGAAUUCUGUCAGAACGCCGUUGGGUUCCUCGUAGCCACCAAAGCUCUGCUAACUUGAACCUGGAGGGGCGAAAAACAAAAUUGAGUGGGUCAGUAAACAAAGUUUUUCGAAAACAUUUCAUUUAAAUCAUUUCUAACCCCUCUCCGUAAAACCUGUAUAAUUUCCCAGAAAAUAGUAUAUAUUCGUAUAUAAACAUAUAUAUAUAUAUAUAUAUAUAUAUAUAUCAUCAAAACUCAGCUCGUCAACUAUCAAUAUACCAUCUCAGAAAGAAUAUGCCAUACCAUGUCAAAAUAUAAUAAGGAUGCAACAAUAUAAAUCAGGUGAAAUAAUAAAUCAACCGGAGACCCUAAUAAUGGUCCUGUACGGCUGAUUCUAUAGCUCAAUGUCUCAACCAGCCAGAGUCACCAACUGUGACCUGUACGGCACUACACUGCACAUAAGUCGGAACUACCUAUAGUAGUCUGUACGACUACGAUGGUGAAAUAAUACGCUCUAGUGCUUCUCAUCAAUCAUCAGAGCGCAUAUCUAAGGUCACCCACCAGUCGAAACCCCUCUAAUGGUCUGUACGACUGGCAUGUCGGAACCACCUCUAGUGGUCUGUACGACAUCCACCUACUUGGAUCCAAGGCGAGCGUGCGGUGUGGUGAAUACUAUAAGCACUAAUACCAAAGGUGCAGUUUAUGAGCUCACAACGCAAUCACAUAAAUAAAUCGUCUGAAUAAUAUAAACCCACAUGUGCAUCCACCGCAUCAAUUCACGUAUAUAUGCAUCAAUUAUCAAACCAAAUAUCUCAACAAUUGCAUGCAUGGCAAUUUAAAUCAUAAUUUUCAAAUAAACGCAUUUUCUGGGAAAAACAAUAGUAUAUAGGUAAUACGAAAACAAAACUGCCCACUCACCUGGAGUUCGCCCUACAACUCCCUAGCACAAUACGUCAAGGCGUCAUGACGAUCGGCGCCUAAAACAAUAAUCAAAUCCAAUCUCAGAAAUCAUAUCGAUAGAAUAUAUAACUUAUAUAAAACACGUCACUACGCAGUUUGAUCUGGAAGAUCUGCAACUCAGAUUUCAAAUCCAUAACUUCCAGAGGACCACAAUAUACCUCCAGGACAACAUCCUAAAAUUUCAUUACCAUCCAACGGUCGGAUCUCCGUCAAUUAUCAAAACCAAGUGACGGUUAACAUUCUAUAUUAUGGACUUACAACCCCAAUUCCGGAAGAUCCGCAUUUCGGAUUCCCAAUCCGUAAGUUCCUAUAAUCCUCAAAUAUUACGUAUUACAACGCAUCAAAGUUUGGUGACGAUCCAACGGUCGGAUCGUCAAUUCACAUUUUCACCUAAAUGCGAAAACUAUAAAACGUUAUUUAAGGCACCUAACUAACAAUUCUUAAUAACUUCUCAUACGGUGCUUAAUUUGGGUAUAUGAAUAUACCACAUUGACCUACUCGACGUCACGGACGUCGAAAAAUUUUUAAAAUAAUUUUUGAUGUGGCACGCGCCCCCACGCGCCAGGGAAGGCACGGGUCCACGCGCACCUUCUUCCUCGCGAGCUCGCCGGACUGGUUUUUCCGGUGGCCGGAAAACUGGGGAAUUUUCAAAUGCUUUGUUCUCCUUCGUUUCUCAACCGUUUUCUUCGUAUAAUAUAUCAAUUUGAAGCCCUCAACAUGUAGAAUCACAAUAGACUAGUUCAAGGUCCAAAAUCCACUAGAUUUUACCUGAGGAAGCACGAUAAUCCGGCCAAUUUUGAAAAACUCUGAUCUCGGUCCUCCGACGUCUAAAUUCUACCAACGAAGUACCCCGAAGCUCGUGAGGAUCUCCUUAAGCUCAAUGUGAGCUUGAAAUUCCCUGAAAUGCAAGAUUUUACGUAUGCAUGAACAGUGCACAUUUUCGGGGUUAUGGUUUCACGAUGAUUCUGAGGGUUUUAAGUUCCAAAAAUCACAUAUACUAACUCACAAGCUUACUAGGAGUUCAAAUCUUACCUUAGAACCUUCGAUCCAUGAAGAAAUGGGAGGUUCCUAGGUUGUCCGUAAGUUCGAGAGUGAGGGAGGGAGACUGAACGGAGAGGAAGAGAGAGGGAAGCACGGGGAGGAGAGAGAGAAUGGUUGACUGGGUGUGUGGUCCAACCAAAACCAUACAUACUAAUUUUAAUCCCUAACCACACAAAAUACAAUCCAAUUUAAUCCAACUUAAUUUAUUUUCUCCAAAAGUUUAGGAAUGUAUAUUUAGUCCAAAUAAUAUAUCAUACACACACAUACCUUAAUACCCGUCAAGGGUUAUUCCGUUUUUUCACAUCCUCGAUGAAUAAAAUCUCGGGACGGGCUGUGACAAUCUUCCCCCUUUAUAGAAUUUCAUCCUCGAAAUUCAUACAACCUACCAAUCCACUUAAUACUCAUAAAAUAACCUCGGAUACAUCUCUCUCACCCGAUCUUCGGUCAUCCAAGUAGCUUCUUCCACGGAGUGGUUCCUCCACAAUACUUUUACCAAGCUCAUUGUCUUAUUCCUUAGAACCUUGUCUUUCCAAUCAAGUAUCGUCACCGGCUCCUCUUCGUAACACAAAUAUGGGUUAAACUCUAAGGGUUGCAGAGGGAUCACAUGCGACGGAUUUGUAACAUAAUGUCGAAUCACCGAAACGUGAAACACAUUAUGUACGUUGGACAGCUCUGACGGUAAUUCAAGCCUGUAAACAUCUUCACCGACUCGCUCGGUGAUCUGAUAAGGUCCGGUGUACCUAGGACUCAACUUACCUUUCUUUCCAAAUCGAACAACACCUCGCCACGGUGAUAACUUCAUAAAUACCCAAUCACUUACCUUGUACACUCAAUCAGUCUGUCUGUUAAACUUUUCUGGCGAUCUUGGGCCGCUUCCCAAGUUAAAAUUAAUCACUCGAACCUUCCAAGUAGACUCAUCCAUAACCUCAGGGCCCGCAAGAACUCUUUUGACAAUUUCUGUCCAACACAAAGGUGUACUACAAUCUUUACCAAAAAGUGCCUCAAAUGGUCUCAUACCCAUGCUCGAACGAACGCUAUAGAUGUAGGCAAUUCCCCUCAAAUCCAACCGUUUAAUCUAAGCGUCGCCAACUGCAAUACUGAAGAUCUCAGCAUAUCCUCCAAAGUCUGGAUAGUGCUCUCUGAUUAACCAUCUAUUUGAGGGCGAUAAGUUGUACUAUAAGGUAACUUGGUAACCAAGCUUCCUGAACGCUAUCCAAAACUUAGAAGUAACCAACAUACCCAAAAAGCUUAACAGUGUACAUCGUCAAAAUUGCUUUCUUUAAUUCCACAUAAUUUGGCACAUACGUCCCAUUCUCUUGCAUAAACAUACCACCCAAUUCUGCCUCGGUUAAUUCUUGAAUUCCUUCGUCAAAUUUCUGGGCAUCAAGUAUACAAUCAACUAAAAUUGGUCUAACCUGAAAAUUAGUCAAUAAAGCUUCUUCUCAACUUUUACCUUAAGUUUCACUCUAGGGUCCCAAAUCCGCAAGAAGGGAAAGCACAACAAGCAUACAAAGCAUUAAUUCUUACUGGAGCCUUCCUACCAAGUGCAUCAGUCGCAACAAUUUCACGAUCACCCUGGUCGUGCAAUCAUAAUUAUUUAGUAACUCAAUCCACCUUCGUUGCCUAAGAUUAAAAUACCUAUGAGUAAGUAGACAUUGGAGACUCCUUUGAUUCGUAAAAAUCUUACACUUUUCACUAUAAAAGUAAUGUCUCCAAAACUUCCAAGUAAAGAUGAUAGCUACUAACUCCAAAUUGUGAGUAGAGUAAUUAAUUUCAUGAAGUUUCAAUUGCCGUGAAGCAUAGUUAAUCUCCCUACCUUGCUGCAUUAACACUUAUCCAAGACCAACCAAAGAAGCAUCACUAAAGACUUCAUAAUUACCGCUAUCUUCUGGGAGUGCUAAAAUACGUGUAUGAGGGAGGAAAUACUUCAACUGUUGAAACCUUGCUCACAAUUAUUAUCCACUCAAACUUAACCUCUGUUCUCGUCAAUCUCGUCAGUGGCAAAGCAAUGACUGGGAAAUCUUUCACGAACCAUCCACGAUAGCCUACCAAACUAAGAAAACUUCAAAUCUCAAUCACAGUUCGUGGUUGUUCCAAAUUCUCAAUUUCCGCUACCUUUUAAAAAUUCACUUGAAUACCUUUAGCAAAUAUAACUUAUCUCAUAAAUGCUUCUUGAUUCAUCCAACAUUGGCAUUUGCUAAACUUAGCAUACAAUCGACGUUCCAUCAAUCUUUGUAACAUCAACUUAAAAUAUCUAACAUACUCUGCUCUAGGCUUAGAGUAUACCAAAAUAUCGUCAAUGAAAACAAUAAUAAACUUGUCAAUGCAUUCCUGGAAUACUUUAUCCAUCAACUUAUAAAACAGCAAGAGAAUCCAUCAAUCCGAAUAACAUCACUAAAACUCAUAAUGACCGUAACGAGUCCUGAACACAAUCUUAGGAACGUUAUUAUUAACUCUUCAAUCGGUAACAACCAGACCUUAAGUCAAUCUUAGGAAAUACGCAGACCUCUAAGUUGAUCAACAAAUCAUCAAUACGCAACAAUGGAUAACGGUUCUUGAUCAUUACCCGAUUCAAUUGCCUAUAAUUAAAACAUAGCCUUAAUAUCCAUUUUCUUCCUCACCAAUAAACUGGUGCUCCCCCCAACGUGAUGUACUUUAAAUGAUACCUUUAUCAACCAAUUCCUGUAACCAAAUUUUCAAUUCCCUUAACUCAUCAUGAACCAAUCUUUAACAUAAAAUUUGUGCCUGGAGACAAAUCAAUAAUGAACUCCAUAUCUCCGCCUAACGGCAAUCCAGGUAAUUCCUCAGGGAAAACAUCAAGAAAAUGUCUAACCACCUUUACAUCUCCCAAACUACUAGAAGCAACAUCAUUUAGCACCAUAUGAGCUAAGUAUCCUUGGCAGCCUUUCGAUAACAAUCUCUUUGCUCUCACAGCAUAAAUAACGGCCUAACUCAAACCACUUUGCAUACCCACAAAAGUAACCUCUAGUCAUCCAAAUUGGUGGAAGGUAACUGGUUUCCCGUAGCAAUCUAUCUUGUUAUAAUUAUAACGCAACUAAUAUGUGCCUAAAUUCACAUCCAAAUCCACGAUGUCCAACGAAAUAAGAUUCACUGGCAUAACUAUAUCUUCCACCAUCAUUAGGCAUCCUGAAUAAACCAAAUCAACAUAGAGUGCCCUACCUGUUUACUUGCUUAACGAAUCCAACAAAUAAGUUAUAAAUAUUACGGUCUGCAGCGCGCAAUACAAAUAACUCACUGUUGUCUCGAUAAGUAAGUAACAAUUCCUGAAGGUAAUAUUAUCAUCUUGUUCUUCCUUAGAAAUACAUAAAUACGCCUCGAUCGUGCUCCAACAUUACUCUCUUGGGCAACAUCGUCCAUAAUAAGAAAUAUAUCAGCCGGAGUCAGCUAGAAUGACUUGUACGGCUGAUUCUCUAGCUCAACCAUCCAUGCUAGCACAUAAGUCGGAGUCAACUAUAGUGACCUGUAUGACUUACUCAUCAAUUUUCCAAAUAAUAUGUCCGCCGGAUUCACCUCUUGUGGCCUGUACGGCUGGACUUAUAACUCAUCAAAUAUCCUUGUACCCACGGCCCAUCUGACCAAACUAUUAAGUUCAUAAACCUGCUGGAUCGAUAUUGUGGUGUCAGGGAAGACUGCUGGGUAACAACUGAUUCUAGGGACCAUUUAUAACUCUAUGUCCCAUCUGUCCACAUGAACACAUUCACUGAUUCCCACACUCUCCAAAGUGUCUAAUAUUGUACCUACGGCACAAAGGUACAUUUCCCUUACUCGAGUCACCUUGUCUUUAAGAUUUGGGAUCACCAGUAAAUCUAUCACUUCGCCUCUGACCAGUGGCAUUAAAACCUAAGCUGGAAGAAUUAGUUCUAACUUCACUUCUUUCGAAGUUCUGAGUCUUUGGAUGUCCUUGAUAUGACGGAUCUUUAACUUUAUUGUCUUUCCUCUAAUUACCAUUCUUUUCUUAUUCUUCUUUACUCUCGUUGAUCAUGCUCUCAGAGUCCUCAAUUCUCAACAACAUCUCGUAAAUUCUUGGUAAAUAGUACAUUGGAUAGUGGUCGCCAAAGAAUGCCACUUCUUCUUAUUAUCCAGCCAAAAACGACAUAACACCUCGACCGGAUUAACAACAACAUCCGAAUGGAAACAAGGCAAGUCUGUAAACUUUCUAUAAUAUUCAUCCAUCGUCAUUUUCCUUGUCUCACAUUUGCAAAUUCUUGCUUACUACCAUCACAAUAUGCCGAAGGAAUGAACUUUUUCUUAAACAAUUCUUUAAACAACUUCCAAAUAGCUGUCCUUCCGAUAUCAUCGGAUAACAUUCCUAUCUCCAUCAGAAUGCAGAUUCAACACUAAAAAACUAGGUAGUCAUCUCGACCCACCUGUCGGGAGGAAGAUUCCCUUGACUUUGCAUAAUCUGAAACGCCUUUUCCCAAAUGAUUAAGCCAUCAAUCUGCUCCCUUAGGUCAUUCAUAUCCCUAAAGGGAUUCAAAUUUAACUUAUAACCAGUCUCAAAGGUUCAUUUAGAUAAUAGACUGAAUCAUAAUGACAAUAAUUUCCCCCCAAACUACUAUAUCAGGGAAAUUAGGUUCAUCCGAACUACGUGGCUCGCUACGAGGCCGUAUAGUUCUGACAGAAGACACUAGGAAAUUCUCAAGAUGUCCAGAAUUGCAACCUAGGCUCUGAUACCAACUGACACACCCCAUCCCGAAGGAAGGCAUGCUGGCCGUCACGUGAGAGUGACGUAACCAUUUACACAGUUCGGAAGCUUUUAAAAUACAAUUACUAAAAUGGAAACCCCCGAGGGUGAGUCCUACUUUUGUGAAUUCUGUCAGAACGCCGUUGGGUUCCUCGUAGCCACCAAAGCUCUGCUAACUUGAACCUGGAGGGGCGAAAAACAAAAUUGAGUGGGUCAGUAAAACAAAGUUUUUCGAAAACAUUUCAUUUAAAACAUUUCUAACCCCUCUCCGUAAAACCUGUAUAAUUUCCCAGAAAAUAGUAUAUAUUUGUAUAUAAACAUAUAUAUAUAUAUAUAUAUAUAUAUCAUCAAAACUCAGCUCGUCAACUAUCAAUAUACCAUCUCAGAAAGAAUAUGCCAUACCAUGUCAAAAUAUAAUAAGGAUGCAACAAUAUAAAUCAGGUGAAAUAAUAAAUCAACCGGAGACCCUAAUAAUGGUCAUGUACGGCUGAUUCUAUAGCUCAAUGUCUCAACCAGCCGGAGUCACCAACUGUGACCUGUACGGCACUACACUGCACAUAAGUCGGAACUACCUAUAGUAGUCUGUACAACUAAGAUGGUGAAAUAAUACGCUCUAGUGCUUCUCAUCAAUCAUCGGCGCGCAUAUCUAAGGUCACCCACCAGUCGGAACCCCUCUAAUGGUUUGUACGACUGGCAUGUCGGAACCACCUCUAGUGGUCUGUACGACAUCCAUCUACUUGGAUCCAAGGCGAGCGUGCGGUGUGGUGAAUACUAUAAGCACUAAUACCAAAUGUGCAGUUUAUGAGCUCACAACGCAAUCACAUAAAUAAAUCGUCUGAAUAAUAUAAAAACUCACAUGUGCAUCCACCGCAUCAAUUCACGUAUAUAUGCAUCAAUUAUCAAACCAAAUAUCUCAACAAUUGCAUGCAUGGCAAUUUAAAUCAUUAUUUUCAAAUAAACGCAUUUUCUGGGAAAAACAAUAGUAUAUAGGUAAUACGAAAACAAAACUGCCCACUCACCUGGAGUUCGCCCUACAACUCCCUAGCACAAUACGUCAAGGCGUCAUGAUGAU
rnacentral:lncRNA from 1 species